rnacentral:rRNA from 1 species
AUUGAACGCUGGCGGCAGGCUUAACACAUGCAAGUCGAGCGAGCGGCGGACGGGUGAGUAAUGUCUGGGAAACUGCCUGAUGGAGGGGGAUAACUACUGGAAACGGUAGCUAAUACCGCAUACCAUCAGAUGUGCCCAGAUGGGAUUAGCUUGUAGGUGGGGUAAUGGCUCACCUAGGCGACGAUCCCUAGCUGGUCUGAGAGGAUGACCGGCCACAAUGGAAUGGCGACAGGGUCCAGACCCGUACGGGAGGAAGAAGUGGGAAAUAUUGCACAAUGGGGGCAAUCCGGAGGCAGCCAUGUCGCGUGGGUGAAGAAGGCCUUCGGGUGGUAAAGCACUUUCAGCGAGGAGGCGUUACUCGCAGAAGAAGCACCGGCUAACUCCGUGCCAGCAGCCGCGGUAAUUC